UUUUCCACUUCUACUACAAGCGUUUGGCUUCUUGUGUUUAAUAUACUUUGUUUUGCAGUGGUGAGCCAAUCCCGACGGUGACUUACACUGAGGAUGAAAUCAAAACUUGGAAUAAAGUGUUUAGUGAAUUGACCAAGCUGUACCCUAGUCAUGCUUGCCGUGAGCAUAACUAUGUAUGGCCUCUAUUAGUUCAGAACUGUGGCUACAGGUUAGAUAACAUCCCACAGCAAGAAGUGGUGUCAAAGUUUCUCAAAGAAUGCUCCGGAUUCUCUCUGCGGCCGGUCGCUGGUCUGUUGUCAUCUCGUGACUUCCUUGCUGGGCUGGCUUUCAGAGUGUUCCAUGCUACUCAGUACAUCCGGCAUGGCAGCACCCCAAUGUACACACCUGAACCGUGAAAUGUUCAUGAGG